rnacentral:rRNA from 1 species
UACGUAGGGUGCGAGCGUUAAUCGGAAUUACUGGGCGUAAAGCGUGCGCAGGCGGUUUUGUAAGCCAGAUGUGAAAUCCCCGGGCUUAACCUGGGAAUGGCAUUUGGGACUGCAAGGCUGGAGUGUGGCAGAGGAGACUGGAAUUCCCGGUGUAGCAGUGAAAUGCGUAGAUAUCGGGAGGAACACCAGUGGCGAAGGCGAUCACCUGGGGAUGUUCUGACGCUGAGGAGCGAAAGCUAGGGGAGCAAACAGG